UGAAAGUGUGCAAGGUACGAUGAAAUCUGAAGACUAUCAAGGCAUUCUGGAGAGAAAUGUGCUGCCUAGUGUCAGAAAGCUUGGUCUCAGUCGCAGGUCAUGGGUCUUCCAACAGGACAACGAUCCAAAACACACAGCCAAAAACACCCAAGAAUGGCUGAGAGAAAAGCGUUGGACUAUUCUAAAGUGGCCUUCUAUGAGCCCAGAUCUGAAUCCCAUUGAACAUAUGUGGAAGGAGCUGAAACAUGCCAUUUGGAGAAGACACCCAUCAAACCUGAGACAACUGGAGCUGUUUGCUCAUGACGAGUGGCCAAAAUACCUGUUGACAGCUGCAGAACGCUCAUUGACAAAUACAGAAAUCGUUUAAUUGCAGUGAUUGCCUCAAAAGGUUGUGCAACAAAAUAUUAAGUUAUGGGUACCAUCAUUUUUGUCCAGGCCUGUUUCAUUGGUUUGUUUUUUUAAAUAAUUAUGUUAAUCAACAAUUCAAAAGUAAUGGCUGUUUUUGAUUAUUUAAUUUUCAAUAAAUUUUUAUUUAUUGUUA